rnacentral:tRNA from 1 species
UCGGAUAUAAUAAGCGUUAAAUUUCAGCUUCCCAAGCUAGCGGCGUGGGUUCGAUUCCCAUCACCCGCUCCA